CUUAAUAUCAAUUAAGCCUAUCUAAUUAGACAUAACUUGAGCAGCUUGGACACACUGAAAUACAGUGAGUGGGGUCCUGUGAUGAUAAGUAGGAUUUUGGAAGAGUUUGAGGGGAGAAGAAAUGGGAAGAAGUGAGGGUUUAGGGUCCAGGCAGGUGCUGCCCUGAUGCAAGUGCACCAGCUGUGAUGACAUCACCUUCUCCCCUCCUCAGCACCCACAGGAAAGGUGUCACAAUCCCUGUGCACAGCGCAAGCUCUGAUUACAGAAACAGGAAUUCCAGUGCGGAGAAGAGGGCACAUAACCUGCCACCUACACCCACGGAAUUCCAGGCACCUCUGGCACGGGAUCCAUUUCAGUCGUUACAAAGCAUCUUUCCUCCUUCCUGGGAAGGAAGCAGUGACCCCACCCAAGAAUGUUGAGGCUCAGUUCUGGGACAAGGGGAGAGGCUGGUCCUGUGCACUCCAGCUCCCAAGCUUGGAAACUCCUGUGAAGCUCAGUCAGAGCUCCUGCAACAGAGAGCCCUUUGCCCAUCACCAAAACCUCAUGCUCAGGAGAGAUCCCUGGCCUGUGGCAUCCCUUCUGAUUUCCAAGGCAGCACUGGAGCAAGGCUGGCUCUGGGGACCUUGGUGCUCCUUGAACAUCCACAGAAGUCAGGAGCCACUGUGCCGUGAAAUCAGCACCAGAUCUGCCGCCAGCCCCACACGGCCAGGAUAUGAGUCCAAGAUACGAGUGGCAGUGGGGUUUGAAUGGCAAAGAAGAAGCUGCACUCAAACUUCUCCGGCUGACCCCAUCUCCCUUUGUGCCUGGCUGCUUGCUCCCAGAGGAUUCCCGGCUUGUGGGAGGAACAGGAGUGGCUAGGGGACGGAAGGUAUCUUCCUCUCCCUCCGCCUCUCCCUUCAUUAAAGAUGUCACCUCUCAUUUACUUUGAAGGGUUUAAGUGCUGUCCUGAGGUGCCCAUCUUGACACCUCCAGAUUUUUCUCUGUUAAGAACUUGAAAAAUAUGCAAAUGCUCUGUAUGGAGCCAGGCACACUUUUCCUUUAAUGGGUUGGUUCUGAUGAAGACUGAUUAGACUCUAAAGUAGCUGGUUUUCUCCAGCACUGGGCCCAUUAUCAUCCUUCUGCCUUAAAUGAGACCUGCUGUAUUUCAAACCUCUGCCGAGGGAGACUGCAGUGGAGAUGGCUUAUUACAACAAAUUACCCUGAGCCAGCUCUUGUACAACAUGAGCCCCAGGUGAGUGCCCUCGGGAGCCCCAGCUUCAGCUGCCUCUGCUGUUGGGCACAGCCAGUUGGGUCCGGGUGGCCUCAUCCACAGGCUGCCUCAGAGCAAAAUCACGUUGUCAGCUUUCCAAGGGGGCCAGGAGUUGACUGCAUGAUCCACAGCGUGCUGCUGACAGCCGCACUCCUGAGGUGCUCAGCAACUUGGGAUGCAUGGUCCCCUCUCUGUGAGAUGAAAACUCGGAGGCCCAGAGCAGUUAAAUUCCUGGUCCCUCGCACAUAGCUGGCCUGCAGUAAAGAUGGGAUUGGAAGCCUAAAUCUAGAGACUUGUGGUCUUCAGUCCAUGGGGACUGAAGCCUUGAGCAAGGCCACCUGGACUUUGGGCCAUUUCCACCUCUCACCCAGCCAGGUAGAAUUGGAGACCAGCAGAGUGCACACUUGGUGGAAGGUCCCCUAGGAAAUCACGCAGACUUCCAGCCCUCAAUUGGUCCCUCAUCCAGGACAGGGAGGGCUGUACCAGCCUCUGGAUCCUGAAAAGGAUGGAAUAAAAAAAGGCCAUGCCCUGAGUAGAGUCAGUGACGGGC
ensembl:lincRNA